GUAACACCACAGUAGUUGCCGCGGGCGUAUCCCCACACACUUCGACUGCAGGUAUUUCCGACGCAGUUGCCACAGAGCACAUUGCCAAGCUC
rnacentral:SRP_RNA from 1 species